GCAAUGGUAGUGUAACGGUUAUCAUUCUUGCGUGAGUGCCACUUUAAAUAUUGACGUGGUGAGAUACUAACAUAAUGCAAGCUUCCAUCUCGACAGCAUGAGACCCGGGUUCGACUCCCGGCCAUUGCA